CUGCUCAAUGUCCAGGACGUGCGUCUUGGCCUGGAGAAGGAAGAGCAGAUGUCAGCCCUGCAGAAUUUAGAUAUUCUGGUCCAAGUAGUUGUUGAAUGCUAAAUUGCUUGCCUGAUUUGUGGAACUGCACACCCAGUAGGUCAAUCCAAUUACUGGCUUCCUCUGUCAAUUGAUUUCCUCAAAGACGAACACGGGCAUCUUCCGAAGUGAAAACUGACGCUUCUUAUCACGCUGCAGCACAUCAGCUGAGCUCUGCUGUUACUGCACUGGACACUGCUCAGGCAGCUGCAGCAGACAGACUGCUGGAAUUCCAGCGACCAGAAGAGCCUCUCGUGCGACGAGCCGGAGAAAAACCAGCCGACUGCAAGCCUCCCUCCCUGAGAUACGCUAUGGUCACUCGCACGCUGUCCGUUCAGGUUGUUGGGAACAGUCGGCACUGGCACGGCCUGCAUUUUGCAUCAUUGCAAAAGAGCCACUGCAGGGCUAUUAACACUGUGAAUAGGUGUUAACUGAUUUUCAGAUAAAAGCAAAAACCAACAGACCCUAUGGCUCUCCAGGGCCAGAGCUUGACCUCAAUAUGCAGCCAACAGCCUGUGGCCAUGGAUUUUAAAAGGUUGCAAAAAACCCCCCCUAAGAAACGUGUAUAAAAAGUGCUAGUAAUACACAAAAAGUUUGCUUUCGCACCACUGUGUCAACAAUUAAUAGUGUACACAAAUCUUUAUAAUAGAUCAAAUUAAUUCCCUGGUUUAAAUCCCCACCUCCUAAAUAAGAGGGAAUUGUCAGCCAACAGUGAAUCAGGGGCAGCUCAGUACCUUCUCAUUCAGGAUCUCCCCGGACUCGUUGGCUUGCGUUUUGGACGUGCCUUUAACAGGCUUGCUCCACUCCACCAGGGGGUCAUGAAGAAAUGUCUUUAAGACGCUGCAGGGAGGAAAAAGAACGGCAACUGCUGCUUAAACAGCUCCUACGGGGCAACUCCAGGAAUGAGAUAUGCUCAAAUACUGAUCUGUAAUCCAAUACAGGGAAAUAUAUUCUAUCAUGGCCAUUUUCUAAGGAGAAAAUAAAUCAAUCUGGUGAAUAACUAUUUAUACAGCCUGGAUAGCUGAUACAUAUAAAAACACACAUUGGUUUCCAUCACACUAUUAAACAGACUGAAUGAACUUCAAGUAACUGGGACUUUUCAAGAAAUUCUAUUUACUUUACAAUGGAGGGGUUGGCGUGGCAGGAGACAGUUUAUCUCAACCAGCACCACUAUGUAGCCCCCCUCCAGGUGAUCCACAAACAUCUUUGUGGUUGAACAUUCACCAGACCUCAAUGUAAGAUGGGAAGCCAUGAUCUUUUCAGAAGAUUCACCGAGGUUCUGAUUAGACAGGUGCAUUUGGAACGCAGCCAGGACACCAGGAAAUGCUCCUGUCCUUGUAACGGACACCUCCACCGGAAUCAUACCUCAUGAGCGGUUCCCUCUGAUCCCUCAUUAGUCGGAUGGUGACCUCGCAGGCCUGUCGGAAGA